rnacentral:rRNA from 1 species
AACGUAGGAGACAAACGUUAUCCGGAGUUACUGGGCGUAAAGGGCGUGUAGGUGGUCAUGUAAGUCUGGCGUGAAAUUUUUCGGCUUAACCGGGAAAGGUCAGCCGAUACUGCGGGGCUAGAGUGCAGAAGGGGCAACUGGAAUUCUCGGUGUAGCGGUGAAAUGCGUAGAUAUCGAGAGGAACACCUGCGGCGAAGGCGGGUUGCUGGGCUGACACUGACGCUGAUGCGCGAAAGCUAGGGGAGCGAACGGG